AUUGAACGCUGGCGGCAUGCUUUACACAUGCAAGUCGAACGGUAACAGGGAGCUUGCUCCGCUGACGAGUGGCGAACGGGUGAGUAAUGCGUCGGAACGUGCCGAGUAGUGGGGGAUAACGCAUCGAAAGGUGUGCUAAUACCGCAUACGUACUGAGGUAGAAAGUGGGGGACCUUCGGGCCUCACGCUAUUCGAGCGGCCGACGUCUGAUUAGCUGGUUGGUGAGGUAAAGGCUCACCAAGGCGACGAUCAGUAGCGGGUCUGAGAGGAUGAUCCGCCACACUGGGACGGAGACACGGCCCAGACUCCUACGGGAGGCAGCAGUGGGGAAGUUUGGACAAUGGGCGCAAGCCUGAUCCAGCCAUGCCGCGUGUCUGAAGAAGGCCUUCGGGUUGUAAAGGACUUUUGUCCGGGAGCAAAUGCUGGUGGCUAACAUCCACCGGAGCUGAGAGUACCGGAAGAAUAAGCACCGGCUAACUACGUGCCAGCCGCCGCGGUAAGAC
rnacentral:rRNA from 1 species